AUUGAACGCUGGCGGCAGGCCUAACACAUGCAAGUCGAACGGUAACAGGAAACAGCUUGCUGUUUCGCUGACGAGUGGCGGACGGGUGAGUAAUGUCUGGGAAACUGCCUGAUGGAGGGGGAUAACUACUGGAAACGGUAGCUAAUACCGCAUAACGUCGCAAGACAAAAGAGGGGGACCCUCGGGCCUCUUGCCAUCGGAUGUGCCCAGAUGGGAUUAGCUUGUUGGUGGGGUAACGGCUCACCAAGGCGACGAUCCCUAGCUGGUCUGAGAGGAUGACCAGCCACACUGGAACUGAGACACGGUCCAGACUCCUACGGGAGGCAGCAGUGGGGAAUAUUGCACAAUGGGCGCAAGCCUGAUGCAGCCAUGCCGCGUGUAUGAAGAAGGCCUUCGGGUUGUAAAGUACUUUCAGCGGGGAGGAAGGGAGUAAAGUUAAUACCUUUGCUCAUUGACGUUACCCGCAGAAGAAGCACCGGCUAACUCCGUG
rnacentral:rRNA from 1 species